rnacentral:lncRNA from 1 species
GAAAAACAUUAGAGCAGAAGAUGUUGCUCCCGAUUUUAUCAUCCUCUAUACAAACAUUUUUUUUCCUGGAAACUCUAAUAAUCUCUUUUUUUUUUCUUCUCUCUUAUUUUCAUCGAAUAAAUCUUCUAGACAAUCUUGAUCACGCUUAAAUCUUUUUGAUCUCUGUAAAUAAUCUAUGGACGAAGUCUGGUUUCUGAAUUUUCAAUCUUUUUAAAGUAAUGGAAACGACAUCGUUUUGAUAUUUGGGGGUUUACCUCUGAAAGAAUCAAUAGAAGGGUGGUGGUGGAGGAGAUGCAUAGGAUACUCCGAUAACCGGCGGUAAUGGCCCUUCAAAUUCAGGUGAUGGAGGUGGAGGAGAACUGUGAUGGACUGGCGGUGGCGGUGGCGGUGGCGGUGGGGAACUGUAAUGGAUUGAUGGUGGCGGUGGAGAACUGUAAUGGACGGAUGGUGGCGGCGGAGAGCUGUAAUGGAUUGCCGGUGGAGGAGGAGGUGAGUAUUCUAUGCAAGGAGGAGGUGGAGGUGGUUCGAUACAAGGAGGUGGGGGAGGAGGGGAAUAAUGUGGAGGCGGUGGUGAGUGAUGCGGUGGAGGUGGGGAUGAGUAUAUNNN